UUUCGCUUCGACGGUGCAGUACUCUUCCCCUUGGACGAUGAAGAACUCUUACACGUUUUGCUUGGCAUGAAGAUAUCUUCAUCGGAUUCCUCCUCUUCAACCCAUAACAAUGGAUGUUUUCUAGCCCAUUGUAGAAGUCCUCAAUGGGAAAUUGCACCUAUAUAAUUGGUGGCCCAGCUCAGUUAGUAGGGUGCCACUACUAAUGAGUUCGUCCCAUGAAACUAUCUUAUUGUCUACCUUGAAAUCAUCAGCUAACCACAAUAGCUCACGGGACAUACCUGACCAAAAUCUACGAUCAUCUGGGAAGCCGGAUGACAUCUUCCCAGACGAAAUGUGUCCCCCAAUGAGCAUGCCUUGCUCCGACCAGGGCGAGAGGCCGAGGAGGAUGAAAGAUGCGAUGUUGCCUCGGGGGGUGGAACAUCUCAGGUGUUGGUGCGGCAAUCUAUGCAAGGUGAAGGAGGUGACAGAUUUUUCAGAUAAACUGGGCAUGAGGUUUUCAUGUGCACGAACUAUGAGUAUGAACCACCUGUCCCGGUUUCGCCGUACGACAAGCCUCCGAUGCCGGAUUGGACGGUGGAAGAGAUCAAAACAAGGUCCCGAAAUGCAUGGCGGCGUUUCCACACGGAGGAGCGUGCGGAAAAAGCUGCAGCCCAGGAGAAAGAGGAGCAAGAGGGAGAGCGGAAAGAGCAUAGGGAGGAACAACGUCGUUGGAUUGACGAAGCACUAAGGAAAAACAGGAAG